UUUGAAAAUUUACUCUUUUUAUAUAUUAUUUUUGGUUCAAAUUAAUAGGGUUGUGAUUUGGUGUUCACUUUGGUGAUAUUGUUGUUCAAGAAUUUGUGGCAUGGCCGGUUAAGAAUCAACAAUUUUCUGUAUGAUCGAUUUCAAUUAUCUUUAUUUGUGCUCAAUAAUGUUCUAAUUAUUUUAAUCUGGGCUUAAGAAACAAGAAUUUUCAUAAAGGACAGUUUCAAUGUGUAAUCACCAUAUCGUCAUGUCUAUCUAUUCUACUGCUUUACAUUUGUAUUCUUAUCUUGCUUUCUCCUUCUUCAUGGCGUGACUUCUGUUUUCCUUUAUGUCGAGUAAAAGAUUCAGUCGUUCUCCAGUUGGGUUCUAAAUAAUUUAGGGCCCUAAAAGGAUAAAGCUCAAUGUGUAAAAAUUCGAUAGUGGUUUUGAUGAUGGAAGCUUAACAGUGAUUUGCGCUACCAUAUAAAGGGAAAAAAUCCUUUGUAUAGUUUGGUCCAAAACUGCUGGUGUUUAUCAUGGACCCCAAGCUUAUAAAGGAAGUAUUCUUCAAUAACUAUCGGUAUCAAAAGACUCAUUCAAAUCCAGUAACCAAGUUAUUGGCACAAAUACUUGUAAGCGAAAAGGAAGGCAAAUGGGCAAAACAUAGAAAAAUCAUCACUCCUGCCUUCCACCUGGAGAAGCUAAAGGUUUGUAGCUGUAAUGAAUUCUCCUUAAGUAGUCCAUUUUUAUCUUUUCUUUCAUCGAAACGGAAACUUCCUCUUCAUUGUGACUCUUUUUUGAAUUACUUGUUUGGAACCAUUUUGUAUUCCUAAUUACAAAGUCGGAACAUUUUGAAUAAGUGUCCCUUCAUUAGCUUUCUCUUAACUAUUUCUUAAACAGCAUAUGCUUACAGCUUUUGGUUAGAGCUGUACUGAGAUACUGAGCAAAUGGGAAGACAUUGUUGCAGUUGAGGGAUCACAUGAGAUAGAUAUAUGGCAUGGCCUUCAACAAUUAAGUAGUGAUGUGAUCUCUCGGACAGCCUUCGGUAGUAGCUAUGAAGAAGGUAGAAGGAUAUUUGAACUUCAAAAGAAAGAAGCUCAAUAUCUUAUGGAAGCUAUACACUCUGUUUAUAUUCCAGGUUGGAGGUGAUUUGCCCUAAUUAUCACCAUAGUACUCCUUUACAAAUUUCACUUGGCAGUGCAACAUGAUUAACUCUUGCCCUCGUGUUUGAUAAUUUGUUGAUGCAUAUAUCUUUCCCUUUUCUGAUUUCUUGCUUAUUAAACUGUUUUGAUAGGUUUUUGCCAAUAAAGAGGAACAGAAGAAUGAAGGAAAUUGAAAAGUAUGUUCAAGCCUCUAUUAGAGGUAUUAUUGAUAAAGAGUAAAGACAAUGAAAGCACGAGAGGUGAAUAUUGAGGAUCUGCUUGGUAUAUUGCUGGAAUCAAAUUUUAAAGAAAUUGAAUAGCAGGCAUCAGGAUUGACAAGCACAGGCCAGAGAAGAGGUGUUGCAAGUCUUUGGGAGUUAGAAACUAGAUUUUGAUGGAUUGAAUCGUCUACAAAUUAUCAAGAAUUUGAAGCCCGAAUAUCAAUUCUUGAAGAAAGUGCAGAGCAAAAAGUUGAAAUACAAGAAUUCUUUUAUUUUGUUCGGGUGGUUUAAUUACGUCUUAUGUACAUUGGAUGCAUUUUUUCUCUUUUUUGGAGUUGAUAAAAUGUUGUCAUACAAUUUGGACAGUUUAUGUUUCUUCGGUUCUUUGUAUUAACGAUGAUGUUUUAUAUGAAUAUUGAUUAUUUAAUA